AUUCGAAUGUAAUUAUUAUUUAGAAACAACAACUUUAGGAUUUGCUCCAAACAUUUUUUUUAUUGUUUUUAUCAUUUGGAAAACCGAGUCCCAACAAUAAAAUCUUAAUCUAUGAGGGCAUGACAAAGGAUGGGGCAAGGAGCUAGACGAAUAUUGCGGGCGUCCCGCUCGCAGAUUUGCGGUAGUCUUCGAACGGGCGAAGGGUCCAGCACCUCAGCAAGUUGUCGAAAAGGUACACAUAAUCAUUUUUGUCCUGCAGGCACAAAAAUUUGGAAAUUCUUUUAUUAAAAGCAAAAGCGAUGUCACUCUCUACCAUGAGCAAUCCCUUGAGGACUUCUGAAAGUUUUUCAUUAUUGCAGUGGUAAAAAACCCAGCUGGAUUGUCCGAAUUUGACCAGUGCUCGAUGCUUUGGCCGUUCGCAGUCUGCCGCAUUCCUGCUAGGCGUCCCACCCGCCCAGGAUUCCUCAACCCAGGGCCAUUGGGAGAGGAUCCGUCGCUAACAGAAUAAGUAUAUACAGACGUUCUUACGACUCGGUUUUGGGAUCUAGGAAGCCCAGGAUAAAUGGCAGAAUGCUGCGGACUCUGAGCUUUGUCAAUCAUAUUCAUUUUGAUAACAUAAAGAUACCACUAAAUUCUGUUUUUAUUUUUCUUCGUUUUCAUGUUUACCUAGAUUAUUUUAAUAUAUAUUUACAUUG
ensembl:ncRNA lncRNA:CR32582 long non-coding RNA:CR32582